CAGGAUGUGAANUCCCCGGGCUCAACCUGGGAACUGCGUUNUGAACUGGGUGACUAGAGUGUNUCAGAGGGAGGUAGAAUUCCACGUGUAGCAGUGAAAUGCGUAGAGAUGUGGAGGAAUACCGAUGGCGAAGGCAGCCUCCUGGGAUAACACUGACGUUCAUGCCCGAAAGCGUGGGUAGCAAACAGGAUUAGAUACCCUGGUAGUCCACGCCCUAAACGAUGUCGAUUAGCUGUUGGGCAGCAUGACUGCUUAGUAGCGAAGCUAACGCAUGAAAUCGACCGCCUGGGGAGUACGGUCGCAAGAUUAAAACUCAAAGGAAUUGACGGGGACCCGCACAAGCGGUGGAUGAUGUGGAUUAAUUCGAUGCAACGCGAAGAACCUUACCUGGUCUUGACAUGUAUGGAACCCUCCAGAGACGGAGGGGUGCCUUCGGGAGCCGUAACACAGGUGCUGCAUGGCUGUCGUCAGCUCGUGUCGUGAGAUGUUGGGUUAAGUCCCGCAACGAGCGCAACCCUUGUCAUUAGUUGCCAUCAUUAAGUUGGGCACUCUAAUGAGACUGCCGGUGACAAGCCGGAGGAAGGCGGGGAUGACGUCAAGUCCUCAUGGCCCUUAUGACCAGGGCUUCACACGUCAUACAAUGGUCGGUACAGAGGGUAGCCAAGCCGCGAGGUGGAGCCAAUCUCACAAAACCGAUCGUAGUCCGGAUUGCACUCUGCAACUCGAGUGCAUGAAGUCGGAAUCGCUAGUAAUCGCAGGUCAGCAUACUGCGGUGAAUACGUUCCCGGGUCUUGUACACACCGCCCGUCACACCAUGGGAGUGGGGGAUACCAGAAGUAGGUAGGGUAACCGCAAGGAGCCCGCUUACCNCG
rnacentral:rRNA from 1 species